CAAAAGUUGUGUUAAGUGUUGGGUGUUCAUUAUUGCUUGCAUCCAAAAAGGAAGGUAGAAAUACAUCAGAACAUUUAGGAGUAAAAGAUGGGAUUUGAUGUGGCGUGAAUGAAAUAGGAGGAAGAGUAAACAACGAUUGGUUAUAUUCUUUACAUCCUUAAUUGUUGAUUAGGGGAGAAAUUAUAGUAUCAAAGAAUAGUGACGUUAUAAUUUCUUAGGAAAAACAUAAAUGCGAAGAAGGUUCGGACUGUUCCUCAAUCUUAUUUGUGUGUGUUUUCACAUCCUUGUUUGCCCAGACCUAUACAAUUAGAUUAGGUUCCAUAGAAGUUAGUAAGAGGCAAAUAUGUAAGAAUAAUGCAUAAAUGAUAAAUAACUGUAAAAGGAUUACAGACCGGGAAUUAUGGAGCGAAUAUCACUUUUCUCUGAAACAGUUUGGGGGGCGGUGUUCUUCAGAUGUCUUCAUUGGCGUCGAAGGAAAUAAACUUUUUUGUCGGAAUAGAUAGAACACUUGCAAAUCAGAAAUAAGGCAAAGAAGGGAGAUGUAGUUGAGUUGAUAGAAAUUAAUUCACUAAUUAAGAGGGCUGGGGGAAUUUGAAUAGGGGAAAGGGAAUUGUAAAUUUAAAGAAGGGUUUGUUAGGUCUGGGUAAAUUGGAGCAGGGGAAACGGAAUUGAAAAUUUAAAGAAGGUUUGUUUGGUAGGAAGAAGCGGCGCGGGAAGAAGGGAAAGUGGAAGCGCAGUUGAAAGUUUAGAUGAGGUUUGUUUGAUGCGAAGAAGCGGUGCCCGAAGAAUAUGCGAAGCGUUUUUAUUUUAUUUUUUGUAAUUUCAGUUUGAAAUUGCCGG
rnacentral:lncRNA from 1 species